rnacentral:snoRNA from 1 species
UUUAGGCCUACUCGAAGCUUUUUUAGUUGCAAUUUACCAGCUAGAAAAGUCAAAAAUAGGCCAAUAGGAAAUGGUGACAACCAGUGACUAAACAACUUGUAUCGGGAAGCAGAUGAACGGAUGCAAGAAAUCGAUGAAAGAUUAAUUAGUUGCACAUAU